GUCAUAGUUCCGGCCAGAACGGUCUGGACGUGGACAGGGUUGAUAGCUCUUUCUCAUUGCGUGGGUGGGUGGGGUAUGGCCAGUUUUAGUUGGUGAAGCGAUUUUGUCUGGUGAAUUGUGAUAAACGAGACUCCGGCAUGCUAACUAGUUAGGUGACUCCCAAGCAGUCUGCAUCCCCCAACUUCUUAGGGGGACAGUGGUGGUCAGCCACCUGCGACUGAGCUAUAACAGGUCUGAGAUGUUCUCAGAGGUGGGGGCUGCGUGUUCGGUACACUGAGUGGCUCAGUGGGUGCCUACUCAAUGCCAGCGGUGUAGGAAACCCAUUGGUGAUGGGAAUCGGGGCGUGCAGUUAUGCCCUGUGACUGAGGAAUUCCCAGUAAGUGAGGGUCAUAAGUCCCUGCC
rnacentral:ncRNA from 1 species